UAGGGAAUCUUCCACAAUGGACGAAAGUCUGAUGGAGCAACGCCGCGUGAGUGAAGAAGGGUUUCGGCUCGUAAAACUCUGUUGUUAAAGAAGAACAUAUCUGAGAGUAACUGUUCAGGUAUUGACGGUAUUUAACCAGAAAGCCGCGGCGAACUACGUGCCAG
rnacentral:rRNA from 1 species